CAGCGUCCUGGAGCUUUUCAGCGACAGGCCAGAGGCUCCGGCUGCUGAUGGGGACAGAAGACUGAAUCUACACCACGGAUCUCCCAGAAGCCUCCUCCACCCCCUGCUGAAGGACACCACAGACUACAGAAGUAUCCUAAAGGU